rnacentral:tRNA from 1 species
GCCAGUAUGGCUCAGUGGUUGAGCAUCGACCCAUUAAACCAAGAGGUCACUGGUUCAAUUCCAGUUCAGGGUA